CCCUUAGAUGUUCUGGGCAGCACGCGCGCUACAAUGGUCUUCGCAAACGGAUGCAUUCUCGAAGGAGAAUGCCAAUCUUGGAAUCUAUGCCUUGGUCGGGACAGUUGCUUGCAAUUUUUCGACUCGAACCAGGAAUUCCUUGUAAUCGUGAUUCAUCACAUCACGAUGAAUACGUCCCUGCCCUUUGUACACACCGCCCGUCGCACCUACCGAUUGAAUGGUCCGGUGAAGCCUCCGGAUUGGCGCGCACCUCGGUGCCGCCGAGAAGUUGGCUAAACCUUACCAUUUAGAGGAAGGUGAAGUCGUAACA
rnacentral:rRNA from 1 species